UAAGGAAUAUUGGUCAAUGGACGCAAGUCUGAACCAGCCAUGCCGCGUGAAGGAUGAAGGUCCUCUGGAUUGUAAACUUCUUUUAUCUGGGACGAAAACGGGAUUUUUAUCUCAAUUGACGGUACCAGAGGAAUAAGCACCGGCUAACUCCGUGCCAGCAGCCGCGGUAAUACGGAGGGUGCGAGCGUUAUCCGGAUUUACUGGGUUUAAAGGGUGCGUAGGUGGGCUUAUAAGUCAGUGGUGAAAUCUCCGAGCUUAACUUGGAAACUGCCGUUGAUACUAUAGGUCUUGAAUUAUCUGGAGGUAAGCGGAAUAUGUCAUGUAGCGGUGAAAUGCUUAGAUAUGACAUAGAACACCAAUUGCGAAGGCAGCUUACUACAUAUAAAUUGACGCUGAGGCACGAAGGCGUGGGGAUCAAACA
rnacentral:rRNA from 1 species